GAUGAACGCUGGCGGCGUGCCUAAUACAUGCAAGUCGAGCGAACUUUUGGGAGCUUGCUUCCAAAAGUUAGCGGCGGACGGGUGAGUAACACGUGGGAAACCUGCCUGUAAGACUGGGAUAACUUCGGGAAACCGGCGCUUAUACCGGAUAACAAUGAAGACCACAUUGCCUUCAAUUAAAAGGUGGCUUUUAGCUACCCCUUACAGAUGGACCCGCGGCGCAUUAGCUAGUUGGUGAGGUAACGGCCCACCCAGGCGACGGUGCGUAGCCGAACUGGGAGGGUGAUCGGCCACACUGGGACUGGGGAACGGCCCAGACUCCUACGGGGGGGAGCAGUAGGGAAUCUUCCGCAAAGGAGGGAAGGCUGACGGAGCAACGGCGCGGGGGGGGAGAAGGCCCUCGGGUCGGAAGGCUCUGUUGUGAGGGAAGAAAGGGUAUCGUUCGAAUAGGGGGGUACCUUGACGGUACCUAAACAGAAAGCCACGGCUAACUACGUG
rnacentral:rRNA from 1 species